rnacentral:rRNA from 1 species
UACGUAGGGACCAAGCGUUGUUCGGAUUUACUGGGCGUAAAGGGCGCGUAGGCGGCUUGACAAGUCACUUGUGAAAUCUCCGGGCUUAACUCGGAACGGCCAAGUGAAAACUGUCAUGCUAGAGUGCAGAAGGGGCAAUCGGGAAUUCUUGGUGUAGCGGUGAAAUGCGUAGAUAUCAAGAGGAACACCUGAGGUGAAGACGGGUUGCUGGGCUGACACUGACGCUGAGUGCGCGAAAGCCAGGGGAGCAAACGGG